GAUGAACGCUGGCGGCGUGCCUAAUACAUGCAAGUCGAGCGAACAGACGAGGAGCUUGCUCCUUCGACGUUAGCGGCGGACGGGUGAGUAACACGUAGGUAACCUACCUAUAAGACUGGGAUAACUUCGGGAAACCGGAGCUAAUACCGGAUAAUAUUUCGAACCGCAUGGUUCGAUAGUGAAAGAUGGCUUUGCUAUCACUUAUAGAUGGACCUGCGCCGUAUUAGCUAGUUGGUAAGGUAACGGCUUACCAAGGCAACGAUACGUAGCCGACCUGAGAGGGGGAUCGGCCACACUGGAACUGAGACACGGCCCAGACUCCUACGGGAGGCAGCAGUAGGGAAUCUUCCGCAAUGGGCGAAAGCCUGACGGAGCAACGCCGCGUGAGUGAUGAAGGUCUUCGGAUCGUAAAACUCUGUUAUUAGGGAAGAACAAACGUGUAAGUAACUGUGCACGUCUUGACGGUACCUAAUCAGAAAGCCACGGCUAACUACGUG
rnacentral:rRNA from 1 species